rnacentral:rRNA from 1 species
AUUGAACGCUGGCGGCAUGCCUAACACAUGCAAGUCGAACGGCAGCACAGUAAAGAUUUCGGUCUUUAUGGGUGGCGAGUGGCGGACGGGUGAGUAAUGCGUAGGAAUCUGUCCUGGAGAGUAGGAUAACCCGAGGAAACUCGGGCUAAUACUGCAUGAUACCGAGAGAUCAAAGGCAGGGGACCCUUCGGGGCCUUGCGCUCUAGGAUGAGCCUACGUCGGAUUAGCUAGUUGGUGGGGUAAAGGCCUACCAAGGCGACGAUCCGUAGCUGGUCUGAGGGGAUGACCAGCCACACUGGGACUGAGACACGGCCCAGACUCCUACGGGAGGCAGCAGUGGGGAAUCUUGGACAAUGGGGGAAACCCUGAUCCAGCGAUGCCGCGUGUGUGAAGAAGGCCUUCGGGUUGUAAAGCACUUUAGUUGGGGAAGAAAAGUAAUGAGUGAAUAACUGAUUGCUCUGACGGUACCCAAAGAAUAAGCACCGGCUAACUCUGUGCCAGCCGCCGCGGUAA